rnacentral:rRNA from 1 species
AGAGUUUGAUCAUGGCUCAGAACGAACGCUGGCGGCGUGGAUAAGACAUGCAAGUCGAGCGAUUAUUUCAGGGUAGCAAUAUUCUGGAGUGAGAGCGGCGCAAGGGUGCGUAACACGUGGGUAAUCUGCCGAGAAGUCUGGGACAACUUGCUGAAAGGCGAGCUAAUACCGGAUGUGGCUGGAGGGAGGCAUCUCUCUUUAGCUAAAGCUGGGGACCGUAAGGCCUGGCGCUUUUUGAUGAACCCGCGGCCUAUCAGCUAGUUGGUGAGGUAACGGCUCACCAAGGCUAAGACGGGUAGCUGGUCUGAGAGGACGACCAGCCACACUGGAACUGAGACACGGUCCAGACACCUACGGGUGGCAGCAGUCGAGAAUUUUUCACAAUGGGCGCAAGCCUGAUGGAGCGACGCCGCGUGGGGGAUGAAUGGCUUCGGCCCGUAAACCCCUGUCAUUUGCGAUCAAACCUCGUUAUUUAAAAGAUGACGAGCUGAUAGUAGCGAAAGAGGAAGGGACGGCUAACUCUGUGCCAGCAGCCGCGGUAAUACAGAGGUCCCGAGCGUUGUUCGGAUUCACUGGGCGUAAAGGGUGCGUAGGUGGCGAGGUAAGUCGGAUGUGAAAUCUCGGAGCUCAACUCCGAAACUGCAUUGGAAACUACCUGGCUAGAGGUUUGGAGGGGGGACUGGAAUGCUUGGUGUAGCAGUGAAAUGCGUAGAUAUCAAGCGGAACACCAGUGGCGAAGGCGAGUCCCUGGACAACACCUGACACUGAGGCACGAAAGCUAGGGGAGCAAACAGGAUUAGAUACCCUAGUAGUCC